AACGAACGCUGGCGGCAUGCCUAACACAUGCAAGUCGAACGAGACGUUCGGGCCUAGUGGCGCACGGGUGCGUAACGCGGGGGAACCUGCACGUAGGUUCGGUAUAACUCCCCGAGAGGGGUGCUCAUACCGGUGAGUGUCUUCGGACCAAGGAUUUAUGGCGUUGGGCUGGGCGCGCGUUGGUUUGGCUAGUUGGUAGUGUACAAGCCUGCCAAGGCGAGGAUCCAUGGCUGGUCGGGGAGGAUGAUCAUCCGCACUGGGACUGCGACACGGCCCAGACUCCUACGGGAGGCAGCAGUAGGGAAUAUUGGACACGGGGCGAAAGCCUGACCCAGCAGUGCCGCGUGAGUCAUGAAGGCCUUAGUGUUGUAAAGCUCUUUUACCCGAGAUGAUAAUGACAGUACCGGGAGAAGAAGCUCCGGCUAACUCCGUG
rnacentral:rRNA from 1 species